rnacentral:rRNA from 1 species
UACGGGGGGGGGUAAGCGUUGUUCGGAAUUACUGGGCGUAAAGGGCUCGUAGGCGGCCAACUAAGUCAGACGUGAAAUCCCUAGGCUCAACCUAUGAACUGCGUCUGAUACUGGAUGGCUUGAGUUUGGGAGAGGGAUGCGGAAUUCCUGGUGUAGCGGUGAAAUGCGUAGAUAUCUGGAGGAACACCGGUGGCGAAGGCGGCAUCCUGGACCGGCAUUGACGCUGAGGCGCGAAAGCUAGGGGAGCAAACGGGG